rnacentral:rRNA from 1 species
CUAACACAUGCAAGUCGAACGGUAACAUUUCUAGCUUGCUAGAAGAUGACGAGUGGCGGACGGGUGAGUAAUGCUUGGGAACUUGCCUUUGCGAGGGGGAUAACAGUUGGAAACGACUGCUAAUACCGCAUAAUGUCUUCGGACCAAACGGGGCUUAGGCUCCGGCGCAAAGAGAGGCCCAAGUGAGAUUAGCUAGUUGGUAAGGUAACGGCUUACCAAGGCGACGAUCUCUAGCUGUUCUGAGAGGAAGAUCAGCCACACUGGGACUGAGACACGGCCCAGACUCCUACGGGAGGCAGCAGUGGGGAAUAUUGCACAAUGGGGGAAACCCUGAUGCAGCCAUGCCGCGUGUGUGAAGAAGGCCUUCGGGUUGUAAAGCACUUUCAGUUGUGAGGAAAAGUUA